CAAUCUUACCUUUUUUUUCAUCAAGCUCUUACCUUUUUUAUGAAUCAAAUUUUGUUCUAGAUUGAUUUUGUUUUUAACAGAUUGAUGCUCAAUCUUACCUUUUUUUUUAUGAAUCAAUCGUUGUUUUCACAGAUUGAUGCUCAAUCUUCGUCAAGCUCUUUCUUUUUUUAUUUUUUUUUAUUUUUUUUUAUGAAUCGGUGCUUGUUCUCACAGAUUAAUGCUCAAUCUUGAUCAAGCUCUAACCUUUUCUUUAUGAAUCAAUUUUUGGACUAGAUUGAUGGCUCAAUUUUCAUCAAGCUCUCUUUUUUAUUAAUCAGUACCUGUUUUUAACAGAUCGAUGCUCAAUCAUCAGGCUGUUACCUUUUUGUAUGAAUCAGUGGCUUGUUUUCACAGAUCGAUGCUUAAUCUUUGUCAACUGUUUCUCUUUUUAUGAAUCAAUGCUUGUUCUCACAGAUUGAUUCUCAAUCUUCAUCAAACUCUUUCUUUUUUACGAAUCAAUCGCUGUUCUCAUAGAUCGAUGGCUAAUCUUCAUCAAUCUCUUUCUUUUUUAUGAAUCCGAUUGAUGAUUCAGUCAUCGUUAUAGUCAAUCAUGAAGAUCUCACUAGAUCCGAAUGUUAAUAGUUUUGGUUCACCAAUACUAAAAAUAGAAAAAGAAAGAAAGAUCUACGAUCUGUUCUGGUAUGGAGAACACCGUAGACGGUGUUCAUUUCUUCCGGAAACGACGUUUAACAAUCGAAGUCCAAAUGAUGACUUCGUAAAUGUCGACAGAUCCAAGGAAUAAGAAAAUCGUUGUGUUAAAAGUGGAAAGUAUUAAGUGAAAAACGCGAUUCAAACAAGGAAGCUUUUGGAUCUGAAAGUUUGAUGAAGAUUGAGUUGAAAAAUCUUCGAUCAACAUCAAGGAACAAGGUUGUUUUGUUGGUUGAAGGUUUUACAAUACAAUUAAAGUGAGGACCUUGUAAAUGCAAAGUGAGAAAGGAUUGUUGUCUUUGCAAUUGUGCCGAUGAGUGUGAGAGGGAAUAUCAUAUUGGCUAUUUGAGGGAAGAUAAGAAGAUUGAUCUGAUGGUGUGUGAAUUUGAAUUUAGUUAUUUAUUAAAGCUUCCUAUUUUUUUCACUCAAUUUAAUAUGAUCGAUUGUUGAUGUGUUACAAUUGCUACUAGUGAAACCAACCAAAGAAAGGUAAACGUGCUUUUUUACACAUUAUCAACAUCAUAUGUCUAUUUUAUUUAUUUAUAUAUAAAAAAAAUUGUAUGAAUACAUUGAUUGAAUUCAUGGCUACUUCCAACUUUUCUUCAACUGCUUUGAGAAGCUACUUGCAUAUCUCAAGGUUAAGAAGAUGGUGAUUCCAGCUGCUGAGGAUGUUGAGUCCAUGUGGAUUCGGAAAUUUGGUUUUGAAAAAGUAACCCAAGCUCUGCGGAGGGAGUAUAGACAAAAAUUGACAUCAAUCGUAGCAUUUGAAGGAACAUGUUUGUUAGAAAAGGAAGUAGUGGGGCCUUAUGGUGGAGUUACUUUUCAAGAUGGUUUUUGUUUCAGUCUUUCUAAGCAGAAGCAAAUUAAGCAAUGAAUGAAUAAUACCCUUUUGGUGGAUUUGUGUUUUAUUUAUGGUUAAAACUACAAACAUCCAUCUAAGGGCCUGUCCAAGCAAAAAUGAGGACCCACAAAAUUUAGAAAACAUCCAAAGAUUUUAUAUAUUAAAGGGCUAACAUGGAGCAAGCAAAUACAAAUACAUAAAAUGAGCAUGUGUACUAGUCAAAACUAUCUUCUGAAUAUCAACUCUAUAUAUAAGCAAACAAUAACAUCA